rnacentral:rRNA from 1 species
UACGUAGGGUGCGAGCGUUGUCCGGAAUUAUUGGGCGUAAAGAGCUCGUAGGCGGUGUGUCGCGUCGGCCGUGAAAACCUGCAGCUUAACUGUGGGCUUGCGGUCGAUACGGGCAUCACUGGAGUUCGGCAGGGGAGACUGGAAUUCCUGGUGUAGCGGUGAAAUGCGCAGAUAUCAGGAGGAACACCGGUGGGCGAAGGCGGAUCUCUGGGCCUUACCUGACGCU